ensembl:snRNA U1 U1 spliceosomal RNA
AUACUUACUUGACAGGGGAGACUACAUGAUUAGGAAGGUGUUUUUCCCAGGGCAAGGCUCAUCCAUUGCACUUGAGACAUGCUGACCCCUGUGAUUUCCCCAAAUGCAGGAAACUCAGUUGCAUAAUUUGUGGUAGUGGAGGACUGUGUUCAUGCUCUUUAA